rnacentral:lncRNA from 1 species
GUGAGUAGGGGAAUGAAAGGGCGGUGCUUUCCCAGGCCAUUGCAAGGUUCACAGUCUUGCCCAGUGCAGCUGGUGCCUCAGUGGCUAGAAGAUUCAAGGAACUGUUGGCGAUACCGUUAGGAAGUGGGGACAAGGGCUGGGGACUCAGGUGCGGGGAGACAGUUCAGGAGACAUGCAAAGGAAAUCAGUUGGGUUGAUCUCAUCAACUGAGAGAAGAGUUCUGUCUGUCGUGGAAAAUAAGCCCAUCUGACUGUAAACUUAGCAAUGCUAAGAACUAACACAAGGAAUGAGCAGAGAUAGUGCCUCUCUUGGUUUGGGGGAGACGGGAGGGUUAGACUCAGGUUCAUCCCAGCUUAGUAUCUUUGAGACACUUUGUAAUUUCCAGUCUUUUGGAAGUGGCCAAGAGAUUCCUACUAGUUCAUCCUUUUGGGGAAGUAAGGUAGGAUAGAAUUGGUAAAUAAUUGAGAGCACAUAAACAACAUGCAUGCUCGUGCUCGUGCGCGCGCGCGCAAGCACACACACACACACACACACACACACACACACACACACACACACACGGCCCUUUGCUAAGUGCAUGUGCCGCAUGAAGAAACAAGGGUUAAUCAGUUUGAUUCUUGCUUCUUCCAUGGAAGAAAAGUGGUACGGCUCCUGUCUUAUGGAUGAAGUUGUCAUGCACGAUUGACUAAUCAUUCAUUGUUAAACAGCAAUUCCGGCAGUUGAUCUGGGAAGCCAGAGAUGUCUGUCGACAGGGUCUGUGCUCAGGAGGGCUGCAUGCACUUUGUGAGGCAAAUGGCUCAUGAGAGUUUUAUGUCAAAGACCUAGAAAAUUGCCACAGCCUGGCUCCCCUCUCAGAACCACAGCUGUGUGCCUCUACUUCCUGCUUCACUUUGGGUUUCUCAAACUUGACUGUGCACACACCUUCACAGGGGGUCCUGAGAGAGUUGGCUAGCUGCUUGUGAGACAGAGGUUCAUGAGACAGUCUAAGUUGACUGGUCUUAAACACUGUGCCCUUCUGCCUUAGCCCUGUGAAUGCUGGGAUUCUAAGCUUGGGCUAGCAACUCCUUCAACAUCCUGUAUUUCUAACAAGCUUUGGGUUUAUUUAUAUGGGACUGGUCCAAGGAACACACUUUGAGUCUCACGGGGCAGACUAUGACUCCUGCAAGAAGCAGUCAUUAAUUGUACUACCCCUUAAAUUAAAUAAAU